rfam:Picea glauca, whole genome shotgun sequence.
GGUUCUAUGGUGUAGUGGUUAGCACUCUAGACUUUGAAUCCAACGACCUUGGUUCGAAUCCCGGUAGGAACU